CGGCGCCCGUUCGGAAUGUCGAGCGCGCGGGGGGGCGGGGGAGCAGCCCCUCCCUCCGGCGGACGCGAGGCGGCGGCGGCAGCGGCGGCGGCGGCAGCUGCUGCUGCGGGAGGGAAGGAGGCGGCGCCUGUGUCGGCGCUGGAGGUUGUGUCCUUCCUGGGGAAACUGCUGUGCGCAGUCGCGGCACUGAAGGCGGCUCUCUACCUGCUCCGCAGAGUCUGUCUAGCUAUGGCCUGGAAGUCAGGAGGCGCCAGUCACUCCGAGCUCAUCCACAACCUCCGCAAAAAUGGAAUAAUCAAGUCAGAUAAAGUAUUUGAAGUAAUGCUUGCAACAGACCGCUGCCAUUAUGCAAAAUGCAACCCAUAUAUGGAUUCUCCUCAAUCAAUAGGAUUUCAAGCAACAAUCAGUGCUCCACACAUGCAUGCAUACGCUCUAGAACUCUUAUAUGAACAAUUACAUGAAGGAGCCAAAGCCCUUGAUGUAGGAUCUGGAAGUGGAAUUCUUUCUGCAUGCUUUGCACGAAUGGUUGGUCCCAAAGGACAAGUUGUAGGAAUUGAUCAUAUCAAAGAGUUGGUAGAUGACUCAAUAAAUAAUGUUAAAAAGGACGACCCCCUAUUGUUAUCUUCAGGAAGAGUGAAACUGAUUGUGGGAGAUGGAAGGUUGGGAUAUUCUGAUGAAGCUCCAUAUGAUGCUAUUCAUGUAGGAGCUGCUGCACCAGUUGUUCCCCAAGCACUUAUAGAUCAAUUAAAGCCUGGUGGAAGGUUAAUAUUACCUGUUGGACCCGCUGGAGGAAACCAGAUGCUGGAACAGUACGAUAAGCUAGAAGAUGGCAGUGUCAAAAUGAAGCCUCUGAUGGGAGUGAUAUAUGUGCCUUUAACAGAUAAGGAGAAGCAGUGGUCCAGAUCUGAAUGAAGCCUGCUGAAGAUCAUGAAGGUGUUGCAACAGUCAUUAAUACAGAUACUGCUUAAAGAAUUUAGAAACAUCAGAGCAGCUGGAAGAAGAUUCAGUUUACAAAAAUGUCAGCUAACACUCCUGAGAUACAGGUACAAGCUAACAUCUAGUGCAGUGAAGAAAAUGCAGAGUGAGUAAGCUGGGAUGAAAUGUAAAAGCUACGUCAUCUGACCCAAACAUAGUGUUAACAGUGGACUGCUCAUCUCCAAUUCUUAAAAGCUUUUCAAAACCAACAGCAUUGCAGCUUGUUUUGGACUUUGUUACACUGUUAUCAGCAUGGAAAAGUGUGGUGUUUUUUAUUUUGUAGAAGUUAAUGCAAGUUUGAUAAUGAACUGAUGGAAAGUUUAAAUUUGGGCAAAUGUUUCUUUUCAACAUGCCCUUAUUUUCACCUGUUUAAAGAAGUGAAAUAUGUCUGCAGAAAGCCAGACAGACCUGCAAUUUGUUAUCUUCUUUAUUUUGGAUUGGGAAACUUACUGAACACUUAUUUCAGCUCCGGUGUUCGUCCAUCAAACCGCUUAUCUGCACUUUCUGACACUACAUGCACACUAUAUGGUUCCUGUGUUCAGCUGUCUUCUAGAUGCUACUAAAAUGAGAUGAAGUUCUUCAAAGCUUUCAGCGUGGUGUCAUAGACUAGCAUGUAGUAUAUACAAUCAGCUGCUUUCUUCCCUUUAAAAACCAGAUAUCGUGUAUAUAAACUUCAAGACAUCAGAAGUGACAGCUCUUGUUGAAUACACUGCUGUUCAGGAUGGACAUAACUGACAUAGUUUUCUCCCUUUUACUUGUAGAAUAACUUAGAGGUUUAUAGUAGAGUAUUGUUUGCAAAUUUGAUGUACCUGAAUUUAAAACUGUAUAACAAAUACUGUGUAAGCUAUGUCCUAAUCAUUGAACAGUUUAUGCAAUGCUGCUUUGCCAAAUAAAAUUCAAAACAAAAAGGG